AAUCAUGUGUGUUGCCUUUCGACGGACCUCUGCCUCGUCCACAUGCAUUCCGUAUAUAUAUUCCAUGCCGUAUAUUUCUCUGUGCGCAGACACAGUAGUGCCUCUGAAGUGCUAGAUAAUAUAUUUGUUCUUGGUCCAGACAUGGAAUCAGUGGGAUAAUAAGGAUAUAUAGUGACUUCUAAGGAUCUUUGGCAUCAUGGCAGUGUUUCCCCUGCUUCUGGCUGUGUUGUUGCUGCCCAGUGUACAUGCCUCAAGGUGUGUAGACAUCUCCCCAGAUCCAGAUCCAGAUCACGGAUCAGGCCAUGCUGUGGAGCUCGGGAAGGAAUUCACAGCCACUUGCCUUCUCCGCCAGAAGGACCUCAGAGCUGACAACAUAGUGUGGGCCUAUAGCAAUGGACAUACAGUGAUCCCCCUCCCAAGACAGCUCUACAGGAAGAUCAAUGAUUCCGCGGGCAGCAUCACAGUCAACGUGACGCAAGAUAUGAGGAGUUUCUUCACAUGCACUGUUGACAACCAUGAUACCAUCAUGCAAAGCGGCUGCCGCUAUGG